rnacentral:rRNA from 2 species
GGUGACCUGCGGAGGGAUCAUU